GGAAAAGAAACCAACAGGGAUUACCUUAGUAACGGCGAGUGAACUGGUAACGGCUCAAAUUUGAAAUCUGGCACCCGCCCGAGUUGUAAUUUGCAGAGGAUGCUUUGGCAGCGCACCGGUCCAAGUCCGUUGGAACACGGCGUCGCAGAGGGUGACAAUCCCGUCGCGACCGGCCUGCAACGCCAUGUAAAGCUCCUUCGACGAGUCGAGUUGUUUGGGAAUGCAGCUCAAAAUGGGAGGUAAAUUUCUUCUAAAGCUAAAUAUUGGCCCGAGACCGAUAGCGCACAAGUAGAGUGAUCGAAAGAUGAAAAGCAUCUUGGAAAGGAAUCGAAACAGCACGUGAAAUUGUUGAAGGGGAAGCGCUAGCGAUGAGACUCAUCGCGGUCGUUCACCGGGGCCUCGGCCCCGGGCACUCGACCGCGUUGGCCCGCAUCGGUUGGGGCGGUGGGAGAAACGCCAACGGAAUGUGGCUCCCCUCGGGGAGUGUUAUAGCCGUGGUGCAAUACCGCCCGCCCCGACCGAGGCACGCGUUCGCUCGGAUGCGGGCUUAAUCGUCGUUAGCGGCC
rnacentral:rRNA from 1 species